GAUGAACGCUGGCGGCGUGCUUAACACAUGCAAGUCGAACGGUGAAGCUCAAGCUUGCUUGAGUGGACCAGUGGCGAACGGGUGAGUAACACGUGAGCAACCUGCCCCUCACUUCGGGAUAAGCCUUGGAAACGGCGUCUAAUACUGGAUACGAGAAGGGUCCGCAUGCGCUCUUUGAGGGAAGUUUUUCGGUUGGGGAUGGGCUCGCGGCCUAUCAGCUUGUUGGUGAGGUUAUGCUUCACCAAGGUCACGACGGAUACGCGGCCUGAGAGGGCUACCGGACACACGGGGACAGAGACAGGGCCCAGACUCCUACGGGAGGCAGCAGGGGAGAAUAGCACAAAAUGGGCGAGAGUGAGAUAGAGAGACGGCGCGUGAGGGAUGACGGCCUUCGGGGUAUAAACCUCUUUCAGCAGGGAAGAAGUGAAAGUGACGGUACCUGCAGAAGAAGCACCGGCUAACUACGUG
rnacentral:rRNA from 1 species